CAGCAGUUCCGUCGUAUCAUCCCAACCAAAUACUUCUUUGCCCGCUCGUCGUUUGCGAUGGCGAUGCUGUCUUUUCUGGUGGCGUUCACCUGCAACAUCUACCUACAGAUAUAUGGCUGGCAGAAGGCGAAGUCGAAGGACUUGAUUCCAUUCGUAUUGGAGCUCACCGUCUUCCCCGUCAUCUGUUCCCUGGUGUUGUUCUUUCGUGGCUCCGAUUUCGGUCUAUCUUUCCUUGUUCGUCUUUGGGGUUGAGUCAACAAGCAUGAUCGUCCACAUCUUUGGAAUCUGCAGCUUCAUGAUGCACGUGGGUUCUACCUAUUGCGGGUAUGCCACCUGUUCUAGUGGUGUGUGGUGGUGGUAGUCAUUGGACAGUUAAUAACUUGUGUGUACAAGCAGCGACAAAGGCUUGUGAUGUAUGGACGCUAGUUGAUUGCAACUUUAAUGUGUUCUUUUCUUCUAUCUUAAAUUAGAUGAUGAUAUAGGCGCAGCGGUAGACAACAGAUCCGAUCACCAAUAAUGGUGAUGUCCCUCUCUAUUGUUUUUGACGAAGUCAAUAUGACAUAACUGUUGACCGGAUCUUACCCUGUAUUGUCAUGUAAAUGUCACAUGUCGAGUGACAGAUUUCCCCUAUCGUAUGGACGUCCUUUGGUUUUCCCAGAGGUCGGCUAGAACAUAGGCUCGAGUCUUUUUGAAUAUUCUGUGACAAAUCACAUAGUCCAUAUCGUAAAGUUUUGGCCCACCAAAGUUUGCACAGGCAAACGAAAUGAUUGGCUUAUAGAAGCCAAUCAUUCAAUAAGUGAAGGACAUCAAUUUUGGAUUAAAAAAAUAUCAACAAAAUACAAAUCACCUUUAUAGAAAGGAAAGAAAACUCUCCGUGGAGAGCUUUAUUGCACUCCUUCCCAUCCAUCAUCUAUGGAGUCAAAUAAGAAAGAUUCAAGAGAAGAUAGGAAUGGUCCGAGUGAAGAAGACAAACUAACGAGCAGCAAUGCUCGUCUAUUCCAAAGACCUGCCACGAGAAUAAUACAGCGAGAAAAAAAGAAAGAAAAGGAAGAAGCUUAUUUAUGAGGUGCGAAAGGUGAUGGACAUCCGAUUCACGCCGUUGCAGCUGAUGGUUACCAUCCUCUUCCGAAGCCAACUUGUGCUCGGCUCCUUUGAUUCCUUGCUCGCCCUUUCCCAAUUACUUUUUACAUAAAAUUAAUAUAUUUUAUGUAAAAAUAUAUUAAAUUUUAUAAAAUAUAUUCUAAAUUAUUCAAAAUAUAUUAUUACACUCUCAUUCAAAGAACGUGUUAAAAAAAAUAUUUUUUUUUAUAAAAUUAUCCUAAAUUCAUCAUAAAACUAAUCAUAAAAUUCUACAUCUCUUAUUUUCUAUUUCUUAUAUUGACUUAGUUAUGUUCAAAAUUAAAAUAAAUUAAAUUCGAUUACCUAACCUAUUUUAAUAUUAAUAUUUUUUUUACUUUUAGAUAUAUCUAGAAUAAUUAAUUAUCAAAACUUUGAGAAUUCUACUAUAAUUUGAUUCUAACAAAAUUAUAAUAAAUUUAUAUAAAAAUUAAUAUAUCUUAGUAAAUUCGAGUGUAACUUGGAUGUAAGAGAUUUGGCUUAACUUGAUUCUACUGGAUUCGAAGGGAUCCGACCCAAAUCGAUCUAAUUCAGAUCGAAUCAACCUGCUAAUCAGUCAGGUUUAAAAUAGUCUAUUUCAAAAGUAUUAUCAAAAUUUUUAAAGAAAAUCACCUUUUGUAUGAGCUUUUAUCUUUAUACAUACAAAGUAUCCUAUUAAACAUGAGGUAUUACAAAAAAAAAAAAAAAAUCCCUCUCCAAAGACCUCCUGUCAUGUCAACUCUAGUAAAAUCCCUAUUAACUAGAGAAAGAAGUUCUUCGUUUAUACUAUAGUCGAGACUGCAACCGAUUCAUUGUUAUUUACUCAUUUUCUUUUGGUUCGUUUUCAUGUCAGUGUCAAGCUAUAUGAUAGGUAAACAAGUGUUUGGUACCCUGUCUCCGUUCCACCAUGCGCUGACGUUAUCAGAUUCCCUUUCGCUGAUCUAUAUAUCUUAUUGUCAGAAGACGUGAGACUGAAAGUGAUAUGUUGGAGGAAAGUAUUGAUUAUAUUUCUAUUUAUUAUUGGUUGACCGAUGGAGAUGGUUACUUUACUUGGGAUGUCAUGUUGAGGUAAUUAAAUCAUGCCAACGCAGAUUCGAAUAAUAAAAUUCCUUUAGCUUGUCAUUAAGCAAAAGACACCCACUCGAAGAUAACGUGAUUUGGAGCUACAAAUGAUAACACUGAGAGCAAAAGAUUCAAUAAAGAGAUGUUGCCAUAAUCCCGGGUGCAUAAAAAGAAUCGGAGACCAACCAAAGGGUCAUCAACUCCAAAGACUUGCGAUGAGUAUGAUCUACAAAACCUUUUCUAUAAGGUGCAAGUUGAAUGAUCGGUGGAGACCCACAAGUAGAGGUUUGGGUGCAAGCUUCCGGAUUAUUGUUUCCUGUAGAGCAAGAAUCGUUGACCCACAAGUUAAAGCUACUGUCUAGCUUUAACGUAUGUGAAUUAUUCAUUAGUAGGUUGGCCUCUGUAACAUACGAUUAAUUUGUUGUCGAAUCUUUUGUGACUGAGAUGAAAACGGAGACCAACCAAUGGGUUCUCAACUCCGAAGACUUGCGAUGAGUAUGACCUACAAAAACCAAGGGGGAAGGAGGUGUACGACGAUGGAUGAGAGCCAAAAGGAUCAGCUAGUCUGCUUGUUAAGGCAGGCAUUCAGGUUGCUUUAGUUUCGCAGUAGAAAUCUGGAGGCGAAGGCGUACGCACCAUAUAGCAACUGCAUGCUAUGGGGGAUCCCGCCGCUCUUGCCAAUACGGAUUCCAUUCACGACGGCACAGAGGAUGCUGAUCCACUGCAUGUUCUCAACAGGAGACAUUUUCUCACGGUGAAGUCUCAUUUCCGUCGGAAGAGGCACGAGGCACUCUUGGUUCUAGCCGUGGAAGAUCCUGGUCGCCCGGUGAACCUCAUGAACGACACUUUGCUCCACGUCGUCAUAGCUUGCAACAAGACCGACCUCGCCAGAAGUAUUAUCUUGCAGAUGCCAGUGGAGACCCUCGCGGCCAAGAAUUUGUACGGCGACACGGCUCUUCAUGUCGCUGCCGCCAUGGGUAACAGCGAGGUGGCCAGGGAGCUGUUCGGCAGGAACGAAGAUCUCAUCGAAGAACAGAACUUGAAGCAGGAGACACCACUGCACAAAGCGGCGUUCUACGGGCAUCAUGACAUGUUCUGGUGCCUGGUUAACGAGGGGAAUGGCUCCCCGUACGAGCGGAGGGAGGACGGCGCCACCAUGCUGCACUGUGCCAUCAUGGGCAACGAGCCGGGUAAGCGGUCAUCACCAGUUUCGUUGGCCAGCUGCCUUUAUCUUGUUUUUAUCCUAUUUAUUUGAAUUUUUAUAUGUGGAUCAUACUGCUUCCGCAUCUUUGGCGUGAUCAAGGUGAGUGAGUCGAUGCAGGGCUGGCACUGGAGAUUGCAGAGCGUUUUCCAUUGCUGAUCACGUCGAGGAAUACUAUGGCGGUAACCCCAUUGCAGCUGAUGGUGACCGUUCCGGGGUUAUUCCGAAGCCAAAUGGUAAUUGGCGGCUUCGAGUCCAUCCUCCAUGACUGUAAGUGCUGCCCCGCCUCUUCCUUCAACGCCCCCAGCGCCCCGCCCUCCCCCCUGCUUCUCUAUUUAUUGCACUACAUUUCCUACCAACGACUACCUUAAUUUAGCGAUCGUUCGACGUCCAAAUCUAUUGAGAAUUUACCAAGGGGUGUUUUUUUCUCAUUAUCGGAACACAUAUACCCUUGCUUAUUUGGAUUUAUUAUAUGGUUUUGUGUUAAACGCAUCAAAUCUAAUCGGUUGAGUCUGGUUUGCUCUCUGUUCUUUGUUCUUUCACGUCUCCUCCUCCUACCCUCAAUUCACCCUUUGUUUGUCACCCUUUCACCCUUAUUCUUUCUUCUUCAAGGAGGAGGAGCAGAGGAGGAGGAGGAGAGGAAGCGACACAAGGUUGACUGGUUCAUUGAACCGGUUCACUGAUCCAAACUGUUUCAGUGAAUCAUUUCAAAAAGUUCGAAAUGUAAUUAAAUUGGAAUAGGAGGAUAAAGUUAGAAUUUACCAAAAAAACAUUCCUAAAUAAUUUCUGAAUAUAUAUAUAUAUAUAUAUAUAUAUAUAUAUAAUAAUACNNNNNNNNNNNNNNNNNNNNUAUAUAUAUAUAUAUAUAUAUAUAUAUAUAUAUAAAAUCUGAUGUAACGGGAUAAUUGACUUAUUAACUUCACUAAACUUGGAUCAUUGAUCUGAAUAAUUAAGUUUAAAUUAAUAAUAAUACACUUAUCAAAUCUCUAUAAAUUAAUCUUAGUAUUUGUCUAGUUUUAAUUUUCGAUGUGAAGUAAAAUUAUAAUUGUUCUCAGAAAAAUAUAGUUAUGAUGACAAUUAAACAUCAAGUAUUUUGAUACCAACGUACAUGCUCCUAAAAGUUUGAUUUUAUAUUUCAGUAAUUCCUUUGGAGAAGGACUCACACAGGACACGUCAAAGAGAUGAAGAGGAGGCAUCUGAAAGCUCCAACGAUGCCGGUGUAUGUGCUUCAAAUCAUCAACAUCUUUUCCAUCACAAUAUCAAUAGUCCACUAUUGUCUCUCUGAUUUGUUUCUCACUUUGGCGUCUACAUAUAUAUAAUCUCAAGCAAGCUGAAGCCACAGAGCAAGAUGACCACGAAUAUUUCGGGAGGCAGAGAACAAUUCGUUCGAGAUUUCCAUCUUGCUGCUGUACUCUCGUUGACAAAUUAGUCAUCCCAGGCACUCCUACUAGCUUCUCUGUCUACAAUUUUUGUAGUCAUCCAUGUUCUGUUUCAUUACGCUGAUGUAUUCCUUUUUGUGCUUGCAGUCAAAUGGGUUCGUCUGUUUCUUUUCAUCAUUAUAAGGACUUGUGAGUAACUGUUCCCAAACAGUACAUUGAUGAUAUUAAGAGCCAUGUCCUACUGUUUCAUUACGAGUUCUAGCAAAUUAGGAAAGUACUAUAGAAAAGGCUUCUUGUAAUUUAGUUCUCCAAAACCAAGUAGUUUACAUGAUGGAUAAUUAUAGCUUAUUUGCGGAAAAACAUAAAUGGGACGAUUAUGUCGCUGACUUCUUCUGAUGUUAAUUUGGAGAUGCAAUGCGUUAUGCAGUGUACCCUCGAACCCGACAUCUGGAGAAGAUUAAGAGAACCCAUAGAAAAGCCUUGGAACUCAUCGAAUUUUUAGCCCGCGACCCGAGAAACAUGGAGUUCUACGUGCUGGGAAGAAAACAAGGUGACGGCGGUGCUCCUGCGGCAGACCUUCGAGAAAGAGGUGAGGGACAAGAUCAACUUACCGCACCGGCUGAGUCAUACAGAAGAUGGAACGAGCCACCCUUGAUCUUGGGUGCACAAAUGGGCAUUCCCGAGUUCGUCAGGACGAUCUUACAAGUGUGUCCGGAGGCAGCUACGUAUCUGGACACCCAAGGUCGAAGCGUUCUCCAAGUAGCAAUACGGCAUGGUAACCGAGAUAUUGUGAGAACUAUACGUGAGAUGACUCGAGGGAAGAAUCCCAUACUACCAUUCUGGCUACUGUCUCGCGUCGACAAAGGGACCGGAAGAACCAUCCUGCACUUGGCUUCGGCAACUGCCCCCGAGCAUAACCAAGAUGCUCUACAAAUGCAAGAUGAAUUAAGAUGGUUUGAGGUCAAGUCCCUAACUACAUUAACUACAAAUAAAAUCUUUACAUUCUCGGAGUUGCCUACUAAAUUUGAUCGUUUUCUGACAUUUUUAUGCAGACGGUGAGAGAUAUGGUUCCUAAGGAAUUAGUGUACAGUAGAAACGCGGAAGAGACGACCGCAGAAGAGAUGUUUACUGAGAGUCACAAAGAUUUGCUCAAGAGUUGCAAGGUUCAACUAAUGGAAACGGGCAGACUGUGUUCCGGGCUGGUCGCAGCUGUAGUGUUCGCGUCAAGCUUCUCAGUCCCCGGCGAUAAGGACCCAACCACCGGCAACCCGGUUUACUUCGGUAGGGCAGCUUUUACGGUCUUCUCACACACGUACGUGUUUGGGCUUUCAUGCGCCGCGACAUCUCUGGUGUUGUUCUUAUCCCUCGCCAUGUCACCUUACAAGGAACAGCAGUUCCGUCGUAUCAUCCCAAUCAAAUACUUCUUUGCCCGCUCGUCGUUUGGGUUGGCGAUGCUGUCUUUUCUGGUGGCGUUCACCUGCAACAUCUACCUACAGAUAUAUGGCUGGCAGAAGACGAAGUCGAAGGACUUGAUUCCAUUCAUAUUGGAGCUCACCGCCUUCCCUUUCAUCUGUUUCCUGGUGUUAUUCUUUUAUGGCUCCAAGUUCGGUCUAUCUUUUCUUUUUCAUUCUUGGCGUUGAGUCAACAAGCAUGAUCGUCCACACGAAUCUGGCAGGUUCAUGAUGUACGUGGGUUGUACCUAUUACGGUAUGUCGCCUGUUCCAGUGGUAUGCGGUGGUAGAAGUCAUUGGACAGUUAAAUAUCUUGUGUGUACAAGCAGCAACAAAGGCAUGUUAUAUGUGGCCGCUAUUUGAUUGUAACUUUAAUGUGGUCUUUUCUUCUAUCUUAAAUUAGAUAAUGAUAUAGGCGCCACGGUAGACAACAAAUCUGAUCACCAAUAAUGGUGAUGGCCCAUCAAUACUGAAUAAUGGUGAUGGCCCUGCCUAUUGUUUUUGGACUAAUGUCCAUAUGACAUAGCUGUUGAUGGGAUCUUAUCCUCUCACCGUUGACUGUAUUGUCAUGUAAGAUAUGCAUGGACGUCCUUUCGUUUUCCCAGAGAUCGGCUAGAAGAUAGGAUCGAGUCUUAUUGAAUCUUCUGUGACAAUCAAGUAGUCUUUAUCGUACAAUUUUGGCCCACCAAAGUUUGCACAGGCAAACGAAAUGAUUGGCUUAUAGAAGCCGAUCGUUCAAGAAGUGAAGGACGUCAAUUUUGGAUUGAAAAAAGAUCAUUUAGCUUUUCAAAAAAGAAAAAGAAUAACCUUUAUAAAAUGGAUAGAAAACUCUCCGUGGAGGCCUUUACACCGCUCCUUAGCAGCAUCCAUGGACUGGAGUCAAUAAGAAACAUUUAAGAAAAGAUAGAAACAGACGUAUCGUUGUCCAAAGAGUGAAGAAGACAAACUAACCACAAGCAAUGCUCGUCUAUUUUAAUGACCUGUCACAAGUCUAAUACAGCCACAAAACAUUAAAAAAAAGGAAGAAGCUUGUUUAUGAGGUGCCAAAGGUUAUGGACAUCUAUCUGAUUCACGCACGGAAUGGUCACCAUCCCCGAGCACCUCUUUCGAAGCCAAUUGUUUGGUCGGCACCUUUGAUUCCUUUCUCUGUAUCUGUCCAAGUGCUGCUCGCCCUUUCUCAAGUACUUUCUAAUCCUCUAUCCAUCUCUCCAUUUUUAUUUUUCUACUUUUACUGUUAUAAUAAGUUUUUUAAAUUAUUUUUAUUACAUUAAAUUACAUAUAAGACAUCCUUAUAUAAACAUAUCAUUAUAUUGCCACGACUAUAUAGACGCUUAUUCUAUAUACAAACUAGAAAUAGACAAAAGGAUACCAAUAAAAUAAAGAGACACCGCAAUAAGAAUCGGAUUUGGUAAAGUAUUUUCCUCAAACGAGCUUGGAGGAUCGGAUAAGAGUUUUGUAAAGAGACCACUGCUCCUGAAAUGAAAACCAAUCGUCGUGCUUUCAAUUAAUAAAACCAAUCAUGCAUACCGUUUUCUAAAGUGUUCAAUGAGGAGACAACAUAAGUAAUUGUCAGUUCACGCAUAUUACUUACCGUACGCAGAAGGAGGCGUAGGUACGUCGGUCGAUGGUCACUUGAUCUCCUUCCUGGCCAUCAUAUAAAGGGAGGCCUUCAGGUGCUCAUCUAAGACCACCAAGGGUACGUGAAGGUUGAAGACGUAGCCAUGGAUCCUUCGGGAAGCCAUUCGGCCCUCGCAACAGAUAACAGUGAUGACGAGAAUAGACGACCUAGCGUCUUCGACGUGGAUCACUUUUGCACCGUGACGUCUCUGAUUCAGCAGGAGAAGUACGAGGAUCUAUUACCCCUAGCCAUGAAGAAGGAUCCUCCACUCAACCUCAUGGAGGACCCUGUGCUCAACGUCGUCAUCGAAUACAAGAAGACCGACCUCGCCAAACGGCAGAUUCAAAACAUGCCCGCGGAGAAGAAGCCCGCGGAGAAGCCCGGACCGCUGUGGUACGCUAAUUACCACGGCGACACGGCUCUCCAUGUCGCGGCCACCGUGGGUGACCUCGACGUGGCCAAGGCGUUGGUCUGGAAGAACUCAGAACUCAGAACUCGUCAGUGCACGCAACUGGAAGAACGAGACACCGCUGCACAAAGCGGCGCUGUACGGGCACGAGACGAUGUUCUGGGACCUGGUGGAAAUGGGGUCGCACGCCCCGGACGAGCGGAGGGAGGACGGCGCCACCGUGCUGCACUGUGCCAUCAUGGGCAGCGCGCCGGGUGAGUUGUAAUCAAUUCCAGGAAGCCAUAGUCAUAUAUAGCUCCUUUCUUGUUUUCCAAAAAUAUGUUUACAUAGUUGAAUUGUAAUGUAGCUUUAGCACUGAAGAUUGCCAAGACAUAUCCACCGCUGAUCACGUCGCGGAAUGAUGAUGCGGUGACUCCGAUGCAGCUGACGGUGACAAUUCCAGGGUUAUUCCGAAGCCUAACGAAUCUUGGGCCCUUAGAGGCCGUAAUUUAUAAGCGUGAGUCGUAAUGUAAUUUCUAGGAUUUACAUCACCAUAAAACAUUCACAGCAUGUAGUUAUGGUAACUAAGGCUUUGUUACAUCAAAUAAAAGCACACCAAUAUGCAUGCUAGCUCUUGAAACUUCAUGGCUGUAUACUUUGAUUGCAAUGUUGCAGUGAUUCCAUACGAAGACUCCAGCGAGCCACGUGCAGUAGAUGAAGAGACAACCAGGGUCUCGAGCGCUGUUGAAGUAUGUGCUUCCGGAUGAAUCAUUUUGUUUUGCAUGAUGGCAUUGAUAUAGUUCAUGAGGUCGAUAGCAUCUUUUCUACUACUUGUCAAUAAUAUUUAUCACAAAAUUUAAGAGCAGUUUUUUCCUCAAACUAGACAAUAUAAAGUUUGAUCUACCAUGUGUUAGAAAUUUUUGUAAUAUCAGUCGAAGUCAUUCUGGUUAGGGUUAACGAAUUACCCUUUUAGGAUAUUUCUAUUCAUCUCACACAUAUGAAUAUGGGUUUUGAAAGUCUUUCACAUAUUCACAAAGGUUUAAACUUAAUACAUGUAACUCAAUUUUUAAGUCUUUCUCUUCUUUGAAGGGUUCAAACUUUGAGUUCAUAUAUUUUUUAACUUUACGAUACGGUUCACAUAUCUACAUCUAUCCAAUGGUACGACUCAUCUACAUUCAGUGGCUGGAAUAUUAUGUAAUUUUUUUUUAGAAACGAUAAGUUUGAGCCAUAUUCUAGUUAGGGUUAAUGUAUAUUAGGUCAUACGUCAUACAUCAAUUGAAUCUAGAAACUUUGAUUAUUAUAUUAUCAAUCAAAUUUAGUAUAUGUAACUAGACUCUUUCAAUUAUUAGUAACAUGAGACUAUCCUCUUAGAAUAUUUCUUUUCAUCUCAUAUAUGAUUUGUCCCUGCACGAGUAUUAUUUCCUUGUAUUGUCUCUGACGUUGGCGUCUACAUGUACUUAAUAAGGGAGGUGCAAAAUAUAUCAAGCGAAAGGUUGUGUCUCUUCUGCCCCCCAAAACGUUUCGUUCGAAAUUCCCAUCUCACUACAGCAGUCUCUUUGACCUGCGGGAAUUGAUGUUCAUCCCAGGUACUCACUCCUACGAGCUUCUCUAUUUACAUUUCUUACCUGGAUCUUAUUGUUGGAUCACAGUACUACACUGAUUCGUGCUUCUGUUGAUGCAGCCAGAUGGGUUCAUUUGUUGCUUUUCCGCAUUCUAAAGCAAUGUAAGUCAUUGUUCGUGGAUGGAUGCAUGAUGUUUAGACAUGUUGUCCUUUUCCAAUUAAUGUUAGUGGAAUUGCAAUGCAUCAUGCAGUGUUCCCUAUGAUCGAACGUCUGGAGAAGCAAAAGAAAACCCACAAGGAAACCUUGGAACUGAUCGAGUUCUUAGCCUAUUAUCCUAGGCACAUGGAGUUCUAUUCCAAGGGAAGACGAAAAGGCAAGGAGGAAAGUCUUCUUGUUGGAGACAUCACCAGUUCUACAACAAGACAGUCUCCUCCGUCAACAGACGCUGGUGAAGGCCAAGGAGUAAAUGGAGGAGGGAACCGAGAUCAAGACUUUGAUAGGUUUGCGGAAAAGCUAUUUAUGUAUAUGUCGCACAAGGAUGCCAAUCACGAAGCAGUAGCAAAAGAGCUCAAGAAGAGCAUGAAGGAGUCGAUGGAGGAAGUGUCCGGUGAAUCCACAAUUAGAAGAUGGGACGAGCCGCCCCUGAUCUUGGGUGCACAAAUGGGUCUUCCUGAGUUCGUCAGGACGAUCUUGCUAGUAUGUUCGCAGGCAGCAGCAUACCUGGACACCAAGGGGAGAAGCGUUCUCCAAGUCGCAGUCAUGUAUCGUCGCGAGGAGAUUGUCAAGAUCAUAAUGGACAUGAGAAACAUUUUACCAUCCUGGUUAUUUUCCGAAAUCGAACCCAAAACCGGGAACACCAUCGUGCAUCUUGCUUCACGUGGAAGCCCUGAUGUAGCAAAGGAAGCGCAAGACGAACCGGAUGCAAUGCAACUGCAUUACGAUUUAGUAUGGUUUGAGGUAAAGUUGCUAAACUUUUUUGCCCCCCUCCUCAAAUUUUGACAUGCUUCUCAAAAGUAUUAUCCGUUCAAUUCUUUGACAUGCAUUCUUCGGUGUCGGUUGUGGGUUAUUCGCGCAUAAUACAAAAUAACCAACAAAUACACAAAUAAAAUCUACGUAUUCUCAGAGUUGCGUACUAAAUUUGAUCGUUUUCUGACAUUUGAAUGCAGACGGUGAGAGAUAUGGUUCCUAAGGAAUUAGUGUACAGUCGGAACGCGCAAACGAAGACCGCAGAAGAGAUGUUUACUGAGAGUCACCGAGCGAUGCUAAAGAGUUACAAGGGUCAACUAAUGGAAACGGGCAGGACGUGUUCAGGGCUUGUCGCUGCUGUAGUGUUCGCGUCGAGCUUCUCCAUCCCCGGCGAUAAGGACCCAGCGACCGGCAACCCGGUUUACUUCGGUAGGCCAGCUUUUAAGGUCUUCUCACAUGCGUACGUGAUUGGGUUGUCAUGCGCCGCCACAUCUCUGGUGUUGUUCUUAUCCCUCGCUAUGUCACCUUACAACGAGCAGCAGUUCCAUCGUAUCAUCCCAACCAAAUACUUCUUUGCCCGCUCGUCGUUUGCGAUGGCGAUGCUGUCUUUUCUGGUGGCGUUCACCUGCAACAUCUACCUACAGAUGUAUGGCUGGCAGAAGGCGAAGUCGAAGGACUUGAUUCCAUUCGUAUUGGAGCUCACCGUCUUCCCCGUCAUCUGUUUCCUGGUGUUGUUCUUUCGUGGCUCCGAUUUCGUCUUUGGGGUUGAGUCAACAAGCAUGAUCGUCCACAUCGUUGGAAUCUGCAGCUUCAUGAUGCACGUGGGUUGUACCUAUUACGGUAUGCCACCUGUUCUAGUGGUGUGUGGUGGUGGUAGUCAUUGGACAGUUAAUAACUUGUGUGUACGGGCAGCGACAAAGGCAUGUGGUGUAUAGACAACAGAGCUGGUCACCAAUAAUGGUGAUGGGCCUCUCUAUUGUUUUUGACGAAGUCAAUAUGACACAACUGUUGACCGGAUCUCACCCUGUAUUGUAAUGUAUACUGUCACAUGUCGAGCGACAGAUUUCCCCUAUCGCAUGCAAAUUGCAGUGAGAUGUAUGGACGUCCUUUUGGUUUCCCAGAGGUCGGCUAGAAGAUAGGCUCGAGUUUUAUUGAAUCUUCUGUGACAAAUCACAUAGUCUAUAUCGUAAAGUUCUGGCCCGCCAAAGUUUGCACAGGCAAACGAAAUGAUUGGCUUAUAGAAGCCAAUCAUUCAAGAAGCGAAGGACAUCAAUUUUGGAUUAAAAAAAUAUCAACAAAAAAAAAAUUCACCUUUGUAGAAAGGAAAGAAAACCCUCCUUCGCAUCAUCUAUGGAGUCGAAUAAGAAAGAUUUAAGAAAAGAUAGAAAUGAUCCGAGUGAAGAAGACAAAUUAACGAGCAGCAAUGCUCGUCUAUUCCAAAGACCUGCCACGAGAAUAAUACAGCGAGAAAAAAUGAAAAGAAAAGAAAAGAAAGAAGCUUAUUUAUGAGGUGCGAAAGGUUAUGGACAUCCGAUUCACACUGUUGUAGCCGAUGGUUACUAUCCUCCUCCGAAGCCAACUUGUGCUCGGCUACUUUGAUUCCUUUCUCUAUGACUGUCUCAAGUGCCGCUCGUCCUUUUCCAAUUACUUUUUAUAUAAAAUUAAUAUAUUUUAUAUAACAAAAGAGUAAUUUAUAUAUAUAAAAAAAUUAUUCUAAAUUAUUCAAAAUAUAUUAUUACACUAUCAUUCAAAGAAUGUGUUGCAUAUUAAUUUUUUUUAUAUAUAAAGAAUCCUAUUAAACAUGAGGUAUUACAAAAAAAAAAUAGCUCUCUCCAACAACCUCCUGUCAUGUCAACUUCUAGUAAAAUCCCUUUUAGCUUGAGAAAAGAAGUUCUUCGUUAAUACUAUAAUUGAGACUGCCACCGCAAGUAAAACCAGUGUUUGGUACCCUGUCUCCGUUCCACCAUGCGCUGACGUUAUCAGAUUCCCUUUCGCUGAUCUAUACAUCUUAUUGUCAUAAGACGUGAGACUGAAAGUGAUAUGUUGGAGGAAACUAUUAAUUAUAUUUCUAUUUAUUAUUGGUUGACCGAUGGAGAUGAUUACUUUACUUGAGAUGUCAUGUUGAGGUAAUUAAAUCAUGCCAACGCAGAUUCGAAUAAUAAAAUUCUAUUAGCUUGUCAUUAAGCAAAAGACACCCACUCGAAGAUAACUUGAUUUGGAGCUACAAAUGAUAACACUGAGAGCAAAAGAUUCAAUAAAGAGAUGUUGCCAUAAUCCCGGGUGCAUAAAAAGAAUCGGAGACCAACCAAAGGGUCGUCAACUCCAAAGACUUGCGAUGAGUAUGAUCUACAAAAACUUUUCUAUAAGGUGCAAGUUGAAUGAUCGGUGGAGACCCACAAGUAGAGCUUUGGGUGCAGGCUUCCGGAUUAUUGUUUCCUGUAGAGCAAGAAUCGUUGACCCACAAGUUAAAGCUGCUGUCUAGCUUUAACGUAUGUGAAUUAUUCAUUAGUAGGUUGGCCUCUGUAACAUACGAUUAAUUUGUUGUCGAAUCUUUUGUGAAUGAGAUGGAGGGUGCUUAAUUUGUUAGUGAAAGAAAAGUCAAUAAUGAGAAAAAGGGCAGAGAAGAAAACGCAAGAUGAAAGCUCAUCUGGAGAGUUCUUCAUGGCAGUGCCACUUUAAGAGGGGAGAUAGGUUGGAAGGGGUCCAAAGGGGAUCUGUACUAAACUUGGAACGGUUUAGCUGGUUUGAGCAAAGAAUCCGACGCCAUUUUCCGACACUAAGCGACGCCAAUCGACUGAAAAGGAGGGAGGCGUACGACGAUGGAUGAGAGCCAAAAGGAUAAGCUAAUCUGCUUGUUAAGGCAGGCCUUCAGGUUUCUUUAGUUUCGCAGUAGAAAUCAGGAGGCGAAGGCGUACGAACGAGUUGUACGCACCAUAUAGCAACUGCACCAUAUAUAUUUUUGGUCGGUGAGAACGUAGCGAAAGGAGCGGCUCCCUUCGGUGUGUUUUGGAUAUGACGGCUCCUUCCACCACCCAAAAGCUGACGCCUGCUGCAGAUGUAGGCACCGGAUCAGGGAGAAAAGUAGAGAAACAGCCGUCUGUACCCGGGAAAUCGCAGCCUGCACACGGCGCAGGUGGUGGUGGAUCAGAGGAGCCACCGCAUGCCCUGGACGUGGCACGCUUCCGCCGGCUGAACUCGCUCAUCCACCGUGAGAACGUGGACGCGAACAAACUCCUGCGUCUAGUGGAGCAGGAUAACCACGUGAACCUCAUGAACGACCCCUUGCUCAGCGUCGUCAUCGCCUGCAAGAAGCCCAAGCUCGCCUGCAGCCUCAUCGACAAAAUAUCAUCAAAUGACAUUCUCAAGGCCAGCAACUUAAACGGCGACACGGCGCUUCACGUAGCUGCCGCCAUGGACGACAAAGAAGUGGCCUCGAAGCUGAUCGACAGGGUGCCAGAUCUCGUUCAUAUGCAGAACGUGAAACAGGAGAUACCGCUACAUAAGGCGGCGCUGUACGGGCUGCUGGACAUGUUCUGGCUGCUGGUGGAAAAUAACAGCUCACCGAAAGCCCGGAGGGAGGACGGCGCCACCAUGCUGCACUGUGCCAUCAUGGGCAACGCGCCGGGUAAGCGAUCAUCACCAGUUUUGUUGGUCUGGCGCUGGCCAGCUGUCUUUCUCUUGUUUUUAUCCUAUUUUUUUGAAGUGUUGUAUGUGGAUCAUACUGCUUCCGCAUCUUUGGUGUGAUCAAGGUGAGUGAGUCGACGCAGGGCUUGCACUGGAGAUUGCAAAGCGUUUUCCAUUGCUGAUCACAUCGCGGAAUACUAUGGCGGUAACCCCGUUGCAGCUGAUGGUGACCGUUCCGGGGUUAUUCCGAAGCCAAAUGGUAAUUGGCGGCUUCGAGUCCAUCCUCCAUGACUGUAAGUGCUGCCCCGCCUCUUCCUUCAACGCCCCCAGCGCCCCGCCCUCCCCCCUGCUUCUCUAUUUAUUGCACUACAUUUCCUACUAACGACUACCUUAAUUUAGCGAUCGUUCGACGUCCAAAUUUAUCGAGAAUUUACCAAGGGGUGUUUUGUUUCUCAUUAUCGGGACACAUAUACCCUUGAUUUUUUGGAUUUAUUAUAUGGUUUUGUGUUAAACCGAAUCAAAUCUAAUCGGUCGAAUCUGGUUUGCACUCUGUUCUUUUUUCUUUCACAUGUCUCCUCCUCCUUCCCUCGAUUCGCCCUUUUUGUUGUCACCCUUUCACCCUUAUUCUUUCUUCUUCAAGGAGGAGGAGGAGAGGAAGCGACACAAGGUUGACCGGUUCAUUGAACCGGUUCGCUCAUCGAAACUGUUUUUGUGAAUCAUUUCAAAAAGUUUGAAACGAAAUUAAUUGGAAUAGGAGGAUAAAGUUAGAAUUUACCAAAAAAAAAAACAUUCCUAAAUAAUUUCUGAAUAGAGGGGCGUGAUAGAAACCAAUUACUAAUAAUCUUUUAGGUGAAUUAUUAUUAUUAUUAUUAUUAUUAUUAUUAUUAUUAUUAUUAUUAUUAUUAUUAUUAUAUAUAAAUAUAAUAUGGUGUAACGGAAUUAUUGACUUAGUAACUUCACUGAACUUGGAUCGUUGAUCUGAAUAAUUAAGUUUAAAUUAAUAAUAAUACACUCAUCAAAUCUCUAUAAAUUAAUCUUAGAAUUUGUCUACUUUUAAUUUUCGAUGUGAAGUAAAAUUAUAAUUGUUCUCAGAAAAAUAUAGUUAUGAUGAAACUUAAACAUCAAGCAUUUUGAUACCAGUAGUGUACAUGCUCCUAAAAUUUUGAUUUUACAUUUCAGUUAUUCCUUUGGAGAAGGACUCAGACAGGACUCGUCGAAGAGAUGAAGAGGAGGCAAGUGGAAGCUCCAACGAUGCCGGUGUAUGUGAUUCAAAUCAUCAACAUCUUUUCCAUCACAAUAUCAAUAGUCCACUAUUGUCUCUCUGAUUUGUUUCUCUUUUUGGCGUCUACAUAUAUAUAAUCUCAAGCAAGCUGAGGGCACAGAACAAGAUGACCACGAAUAUUUCGGGAGGCAGAGAACAAUUCGUUCGAGAUUUCCAUCUUGCUGCUGUACUCUCGUUGACAUAUUAGUCAUCCCAGGCACUCCUACUAGCUUCUCUGUCUACAAUUUUUGUAGUCAUCCAUGUUCUGUUUCAUUACGCUGAUGUUUUCCUUUUUGUCCUUGCAGUCAAAUGGGUUCGUCUGUUUCUCUUCAUCAUUUUAAAGACCUGUGAGUAAUUGUUCCCAAACAGUACAUUGAUGAUAUUUAGAACCAUGUCCUACUGUUUCAUUACGAGUUUUAGCAAAUUAGGAAAGUACUAUAGAAAAGGCUUCUUGUAAUUUAGUUCUCCAAAACCAAGUAGUUUACAUGAUGGAUAAUUAUAGCUUAUUUGCGGAAAAACAUAGAUGGGAUGAUCAUGUCGCUGACUUCUUCUGAUGUUAAUUUGGAGAUGCAAUGCGUUUAAGAUUAAUUUAGUUCUUCUGAUGAUCAUGUCGGAAAAACAUAAAUGCAGUGUACCCUCGAACCCGACAUCUGGAGAAGAUUAAGAGAACCCAUAGAAAAGCCUUGGAACUCAUCGAAUUUUUAGCCCGCGAACCGAGAAACAUGGAGUUCUACGUGCUGGGAAGCAAACAAGGUGACGGCGGAGCUCCUGCGGCAGGCUUUCGAGAAAGUGGUGGGCGACAAGAUCAACUUAAUGCACCAGCUGCGUCUACCAGAAGAUGGAAUGAGCCACCCUUGAUCUUGGGUGCACAAAUGGGCAUUCCCGAGUUCGUCAGUACGAUCUUACGAGUGUGUCCGCAGGCAGCUACGUACCUGGACACCGGUGGCCGAAGCGUUCUCCAAGUAGCAAUAAAGCAUGGUAACCGAGAGAUUGUGAGAACUAUACGUGAGAUGACUCGGGGGAAUAAUCCCAUACUACCAUCCUGGCUACUGUCCCGUGUCGACAAAGGGACCGGAAGAACCAUCCUACACCUUGCGUCGGCAAAUGCCCCCAAGCAUACCCAAGAUGCUCUACAAAUGCAAGAUGAAUUAAGAUGGUUUGAGGUCAAGUCCCUAACUACAUUAACUACAAAUAAAAUCUUUACAUUCUCGGAGCUGCCUACUAAAUUUGAUCGUUUUCUGACAUUUGUAUGCAGAGGGUGAGAGAUAUGGUUCCUAAGGAAUUAGUGUACAGUCGAAACGCGCAAGAGAUGACCGCAGAAGAGAUGUUUACUCUGAGUCACCAAGCUUUGCUCAAGAAUUGCAAGGAUCAACUAAUGGAAACGGGCAGGCUGUGUUCAGGGCUGGUCGCAGCUGUAGUGUUCGCGUCGAGCUUCUCAGUCCCCGGCGAUAAGGACCCAGCCACCGGCAACCCGGUUUACUUCGGUAGGGCAGCUUUUACGGUCUUCUCACACACGUACGUGUUUGGGCUUUCAUGCGCCGCGACAUCUCUGGUGUUGUUCUUAUCCCUCGCCAUGUCACCUUACAAGGAACAGCAGUUCCGUCGUAUCAUCCCAAUCAAAUACUUCUUUGCCCGCUCGUCGUUUGGGUUGGCGAUGCUGUCUUUUCUGGUGGCGUUCACCUGCAACAUCUACCUGCAGUUAUAUGGCUGGCAGAAGACGAAGUCGAAGGACUUGAUUCCAUUCAUAUUGGAGCUCACCGCCUUCCCUUUCAUCUGUUUCCUGGUGUUAUUCUUUUAUGGCUCCAAGUUCUUUUAUGGCUCCAAGUUCGGUCUAUCUUUUCUUUUUCGUUCUUGGCGUUGAGUCAACAAGCAUGAUCGUCCACAUCCUUCGAAUCUGCAGCUUCAUGAUGUACGUGGGUUAUACCUAUUACGGUAUGCCGCCUGUUCCAGUGGUGUGUGGUGGUGGUAGUCAUUGGACAGUUAAUAACUUAUGUGUACAAGCAGCGACAAAGGCAUGUGAUGUAUGGACGCUAUUUGAUUGCAACUUUAAUGUGGUUUUUUAUCUUCUAUCUUCGAUUAGAUGAUGUCUGCGCAACGGUAGACAACAGAGCUGGUCACCAAUAAUGGUGAUGGCCCUCUCUAUUGUUUUUGACGAAGUCAAUAUGACACAACUGUUGACCGGAUCUCACCCUGUAUUGUAAUGUAUACUGUCACAUGUCGAGCGACAGAUUUCCCCUAUCGCAUGCAAAUUGCAGUGAGAUGUAUGGACGUCCUUUUGGUUUCCCAGAGGUCGGCUAGAAGAUAGGCUCGAGUUUUAUUGAAUCUUCUGUGACAAAUCACAUAGUCUAUAUCGUAAAGUUUUGGCCCGCCAAAGUUUGCACAGGCAAACGAAAUGUUUGGCUUAUAGAAGCCGAUUAUUCAAGAAGCGAAGGACAUCAAUUUUGGAUUAAAAAAAUAUCAACAAAAAAAAAUCACCUUUGUAGAAAGGAAAGAAAACCCUCCUUCGCAUCAUCUAUGUAGUCAAAUAGGAAAGAUUUAAGAAAAGAUAGAAAUGGUCCGAGUGAAGAAGACAAACUAACGAGCAACAAUGCUCGUCUAUUCCAAAGACAUGCCACGAGAAUAAUGCAGCAAGAAAAAAUGAAAAGAAAAGAAAAGAAAGAAGUUUAUUUAUGAGGUGCGAAAUGUUAUGGACAUCCGAUUCACACUGUUGCAGCUGAUGGUUACCAUCCUCUUCCGAAGCCAACUUGUGCUCGGCUCCUUUGAUUCCUUUCUAUAAAGGUUAUGGACAUCCGAUUCACUCGCGCCAUUGCUGCUCGUCCUUUCCCAAUUACUUUUUAUAUAAAAUUAUUAUAUUUUAUAUAAUAAUAUAGUAAUUUUUAUAAAAAAAGUAUUCUAAAUUAUUCUAAAUAUAUUAUUAUACUAUCAUUCAAAGAAUGUGUUGAAUAUUAAUUUUUUUUAUAAAUUUAUCCAAAAUUCAUCAUAAAACUAAUCAUAAAAUUCUACAUCUCUUAUUUUCUAUUUCCUAUAUUGACUUAGUUAUACUCAAAAUUAAAAUAAAUUAAAUUCGAUUACCUAACUUAUUUUAAUAUUAAUAUAUAUAUAUAUAUAUAUAUAUAUAUAUUACUUUUAGAUAUAUUUAGGAUAAUUAAUUAUCAGAACUUUGAGAAUUCUACUGUAAUUUGAUUCUAACCAAAAAAAUACUAGUUUUUUUAUUUUAUAAUAAGUUUAUAUAAAAUUAAUAUAUCUUACUAAAUUCGAGUGUAACUUAGAUUUGGCUCUACCCAACCCGACUCGAUCCGAAAGGAUGCGCCCCAAAUCAAUUUAAUUCAGAUCCAAUCAACCAGCUAAUUAGUUAGGUUUGAAAUAGUCUCGUAUUAUGAAAAUUUUUAAAUAAAAAUAUCCUGAGCUUUUAUAUAUAUAUAUAUAUAUAUAUAUAUAUAUAUAUAUAAAGAAUCCUAUUAAACAUGAGGUAUUACAAAAAAAAUCGCUCUCCAACAACCUCCUGUCAUGUCAACUCUAGUAAAAUCCCUUUUAGCUUGAGAAAAGAAGUUCUUCGUCAAUACUAUAAUUGAGACUGCAACCGAUUCUUUGUUUUUUACUCAUUUUCUUUUGGUUCGUUUUCAUGUCAGUGUCAAGCUACAUGAUAGUUAAACAAGUGUUUGGUACCUUGUCUCCGUUCCACCAUGCUCUGACGUUAUCAGAUUCCCUUUCUGUGAUCUAUGUAUCUUUUUGUCAUAAGACGUGAGACUGUCAGUGAUAUGUUGGAAGAAACUAUUAAUUAUAUUUCUAUUUAUUAUUGGUUGACCGAUGGAGAUGAUUACUUUACUUGGGAUGUCAUGUUGAGGUAAUUAAAUCAUGCCAACGCAGAUUCGAAUAAUAAAAUUCUUUUAGCUUGUCAUUAAGCAAAAGACACCCACUCGAAGAUAACGUGAUUUGGAGCUACAAAUGAUAACAUCGAGAGCAAAAGAUUCAAUAAAGAGAUGUUGCCAUAAUCCCGGGUGCAUAAAAAGAAUCGGAGACCAACCAAAGGGUCGUCAACUCCAAAGACUUGCGAUGAACAUGAUCUACAAAACCUUUUCUAUAAGGUGCAAGUGGAGGUUUGGGUGCAAGCUUCCGGAUUAUUGUUUCCUGUAGAGCAAGAAUCGUUGACCCUCGCAUGGCCAUCCACGUUUAUGGCAUGUAGGUGCUGUCUAGCUUUAACGUAUGUGAAUUAUUCAUUAGUAGGUUGGCCUCACUAACGUACGAUUAAUUUGUUGUCGAAUCUUUUGUGAGUGAGAUGGAGAGUGCUUAAUUUGUUGUGAAAGAAAAAACAAUAAUGAGAAAACUAGCACAGAAGAAAACGCAAGUUGAAAGCUCAUCUGGAGAGUUCUUCAUGGCAGUGCCACUUUAAGAGGGGAUAUGAGUUGGAAGGGGUCCAAAGGGGAUCUGUACUAAACUUGGAACUGUUUAGCUGGUUUGAGCAAAGAAUCCGACGCCAUUUUCCGACUCUAAGCGACGCCAAUCGACUGAGAAGGAGGGAGGCGUACGACGAUGGAUGAGAGCCAAAAGGAUCAGCUAAUCUUGUUGUUAAGGCAGUCCUUUCAGGUUGCUUUAAUUUUGGUGUAGGCAUCUGGCGGCGAAGGCGUACUUACCAUAUAGCAACUGCAUGCUAUGGGGGAUCCCGCCGCUCUUGCCAAUACGGAUUCCAUUCACGACGGCACAGAGGAUGCUGAUCCACUGCAUGUGCUCAACAGGAGACAUUUUCUCGCGGUGAAGUCUCAUUUCCGUCAGAGGAAGCACGAGGCACUCUUGGCUCUAGCCGUGGAAGAUCCUGGUCGCCCGGUGAACCUCAUGAACGACACUUUGCUCCACGUCGUCAUAGCUUGCAACAAGACCGACCUCGCCAAAAGUAUUAUCUUGCAGAUGCCAGUGGAGACCCUCGCGGCCAAGAAUUUGUACGGCGACACGGCUCUUCAUGUCGCUGCCGCCGUGGGUAACAGCGAGGUGGCCAGGGAGCUGUUCGGCAAGAGAGAAGAUCUCAUCGGAGAACAGAACUUGAAGCAGGAGACACCACUGCACAAAGCGGCGUUCUACGGGCAUCAUGACAUGUUCUGGUGCCUGGUGGACGAGGGGAAUGGCUCCCCGUACGAGCGGAGGGAGGACGGCGCCACCAUGCUGCAUUGUGCCAUCAUGGGCAACGAGCCGGGUAAGCGAUCAUCACCAGUUUCGUUGGCCAGCUGCCUUUAUCUUGUUUUUAUCCUAUCCUAUUUAUUUGAAUUGUUAUAUGUGGAUCAUACUGCUUCCGCAUCUUUGGCGUGAUCAAGGUGAGUGAGUAUCGAUGCAGGGCUGGCACUGGAGAUUGCAGAGCAUUUUCCAUUGCUGAUCACGUCGCGGAAUACUAUGGCGGUGACCCCGUUGCAGCUGAUGGUGACCGUUCCGGGGUUAUUCCGAAGCCAAAUGGAACUUGGCGGCUUCGAGUCCAUCCUCCAUGACUGUAAGUGCUGCCCGCCUCUUCCUUCAUCGCCCCCGGCGCCCCGCCCUCCCCCCUGCUUCUCUAUUUCUUUCACUACAUUUCCUACCAACGACUACCUUAAUUUAGCGAUCGUUCGACGUCCAAAUUUAUCGAGAAUUUACCUAAGGGUGUUUUUUUCUCAUUAUCGGAACACAUAUACCCUUGAUUUUUUGGAUUUAUUGUAUGGUUUUGUGUUAAACCGAAUCAAAUCUAACCGGUCGAGUCUGAUUUGAUCUCUGUUCUUUAUUCUUUCACAUGUCUUUCUCCUCCUUCCCUCAAUUCCCCCUUUUGUUGUCACCCUUUCACCCUUAAUUCUUUCUUCUUCAAGGAGGAGAGGAGGAGUAGGCGGAGGAGGAGAAGAGGAAGCGACAGAAGGUUGACCGCUUCAUCGAACCGGUUCGCUCAUUCAAACUGUUUUAGUAAAUCAUUUCAAAAAGUUUGAAACGAAAUUAAUUGGAAUAGGAGGAUAAAGUUAGAAUUUACCAAAAAAAAUUCCUAAAUAAUUUUUGAAUAGAGGGGAGUGAUAGAAAACAAUUACUAAUAAUCUUUUNNNNNNNNNNNNNNNNNNNNUAUAUAUAUAUAUAUAUAUAUAUAUAUAUAUAUAUAUAUAUAUAAUCUAAUCUAACAGAAUAAUUGACUUAUUAACUUCAGGAUCAUUGAUCUGAAUAAUUAAGUUUAAAUUAAUAAUAAUACACUUAUCAAAUCUCUAUAAAUUAAUCUUAGUAUUUGUCUACUUUUAAUUUUCGAUGUGAAGUAAAAUUAUAAUUGUUCUGAGAAAAAUAUAGUUAUGAUGAAACUUAAACAUCAAGCAUUUUGAUUUUACAUUUCAGUUAUUCCUUUGGAGAAGGACUCACACAGGACUCGUCGAAGAGAUGAAGAGGAGGCAGGUGGAAGCUCCAACGAUGCCGGUGUAAGUGAUUCAAAUCAUCAACAUCUUUUCCAUCACAAUAUCAAUAGUCCACUAUUGUCUCUUAUUUGUUUCUCACUUUGGCGUUUACAUAUAUAUAAUCUCAAGCAAGCUGAAGCCGCAGAGCAAGAUGACCACGAAUAUUUCGGGAGGCAUAGAACAAUUCGUUCAAGAUUUCCAUCUUGCUGCUGUACUCUCGUUGACAUAUUAGUCUUCCCAGGCACUCCUACUAGCUUCUCUGUCUACAAUUUUUGUAGUCAUCCAACUUCUGUUUCAUUACACUGAUGUAUUCCUUUUUGUGCUUGCAGUCAAAUGGGUUCGUCUGUUUCUUUUCUUCAUUAUAAGGACUUGUGAGUAACUGUUCCCAAACAGUACAUUGAUGAUGUUAAGAGCCAUGUCCUACUGUUUCAUUACGAGUUCUAGCAAAUUAGGAAAGUACUAUAGAAAAGGCUUCUUGUAAUUUAGUUCUCCAAAACAAAGUAGUUUACAUGAUGGAUAAUUAUAGCUUAUUUGCGGAAACACAUAAAUGGGAUGAUCAUGUCGCUGACUUCUUCUGAUGUUAAUUUGGAGAUGCAAUGCGUUUAAGAUUAAUUUAGUUCUUCUGAUGAUCAUGUCGGAAAAACAUAAAUGCAGUGUACCCUCGAACCCGACAUCUGGAGAAGAUUAAGAGAACCCAUAGAAAAGCCUUGGAACUCAUCGAAUUUUUAGCCCGCGACCCGAGAAACAUGGAGUUCUACGUGCUGGGAAGAAUGCAAGGUGACGGCGGAGCUCCUGCGGCAGGCUUUCGAGAAAGAGGUGGACGACAAGAUCAACUUAAUGCACCAGCUGCGUCUACGAGAAGAUGGAACGAGCCACCCUUGAUCUUGGGUGCACAAAUGGGCAUUCCCGAGUUCGUCAGUACCAUCUUACGAGUGUGUCCGGAGGCAGCUACCUACCUGGACACCCGUGGCCGAAGCGUUCUCCAAGUAGCAAUAGAGCAUGGUAACCGAGAGAUUGUGAGAACUAUACGUGAGAUGACUCAGGGGAAGAAUCCCAUACUACCAUCCUGGCUACUGUCCCGCGUCGACAAAGGGACCGGAAGAACCAUCCUGCACUUUGCUUCGGCAAAUGCCCCUGAGCAUAACCAAGAUGCUCUACAAAUGCAAGAUGAAUUAAGAUGGUUUGAGGUCAAGUCCCUAACUACAUUAACUAGAAAUAAAAUAUUUAUAUUCUCGGAGUUGCCUACUGAAUUUGAUCGUUUUCUGACAUUUGAAUGCAGACGGUGAGAGAUAUGGUUCCUAAGGAAUUAGUGUACAGUCGAAACGCGCAAGAGAUGACCGCAGAAGAGAUGUUUACCAAGAGUCACCAAGCUUUGCUCAAGAGUUGCAAGGUUCAACUAAUGGAAACGGGAAGGUUGUGUUCGGGGCUGAUCGCAGCUGUAGUGUUCGCGUCGAGCUUCUCCAUCCCCGGCGAUAAGGACCCAGCGACCGGCAACCCGGUUUACUUCGGUAGGGCAGCUUUUAAGGUCUUCUCACAUGCGUACGUGAUUGGGUUGUCAUGCGCCGCCACAUCUCUGGUGUUGUUCUUAUCCCUCGCCAUGUCACCGAACAAGGAGCAGCAGUUCCGUCGUAUAAUCCCCACCAAAUACUUCUUUGCCCGCUCGUCGUUUGGGUUUGCGAUGCUGUCUUUUCUGGUGGCGUUCACCUGCAACAUCUACCUACAGUUAUAUGGCUGGCAGAAGACGAAGUCGAAGGACUUGAUUCCAUUCGUAUUGGAGCUCACCGUCUUCCCUGUUAACUGUUUCCUGGUGUUGUUCUUUCGUGGCUUCACCUUCGAUAUACCUUUCCUUUUUCGUUCUUGGCGUUGAGUCAACAAGUAUGAUCGUCCACAUCUUUGGAAUCUGCAGCUUCAUGAUGUAACGUCGGUUCUACCUAUUACGGUAUGCCACCUGUACUAGCGGUAUGUAGUGGUAGUUGUCAUUGGACAGUUAAUAUCUCGUGUGUACAAGCAGCAACAAAG
rnacentral:lncRNA from 1 species